rnacentral:misc_RNA from 1 species
ACUGUUCAUCCGAUACCGGUACUCAAUAGACACACCAACAAAGAAACUUCCAGAAAUCUACCAAAAUAAUCAACAUUUAUAAGAAUGGCCGACCUAGUUCAUUGUUACAAUAAAGGAUGUGGACAAAAGUUCGAUCCGACCAACAACCAAGAAGACAGCUGCACAUACCAUCCUGGGCAACCAGUGUUUCAUGAUGCACUGAAGGGCUGGUCCUGUUGCAAAAAAAGGAGCACAGAUUUCACAGAGUUCCUCAACACACCGGGUUGCUUAAAAGGAUUGCACAGUAAUGUUAAACCACCAGAACCUGUCAAAGAAGAAAACCCAGCAGAUACCAACAAAGACGAGGUAAUUGAAGUAAAGAUACGAGAGCCCAAGAAACCACGCGACCCCUCCACCAGACCUUCGGCCGACGAACCGCUGGCACCGCUGACUGUAAAUGUGACUCCCUCACUGAAACAAGCACUAGAGAAACACAUGGAAAACCUCAGUCUGCAGGUGGCAGAAGAAAAAACUGAUACAACAGAAAUAAAAGUUGGAACUUCAUGCAAAAACAAUGGAUGUAAGGCAUGUUACCAAGGAGAGGAGAGCGAUACAGAGAAAUGUUUGUACCACCCGGGAUAUCCUGUGUUUCAUGAAGGCAUGAAGUUCUGGUCCUGCUGUAACAGAAAGACCUCCGAGUUUGACCAGUUUUUGGCUCAGGAAGGAUGUGAAACGGGGACUCAUUUAUGGAUCAAACCAGAGGUGGAGGGAGAAAAGAAGUCAUGUCGGUUUGACUGGCACCAGACCCCCUCCACGGUGUCACUGUCCAUCUUCGCCAAGGUCGCCGUUCCCGAAAAAUGUUCCAUCACGGUCAACAGAGUACGCUGUGUCAUAAAGAUCGUGUUCGACGGAGGAAAGAGUCUCUUUGAGAAAGAUUUAGUAUUAAGAGAAGUAGGUUAUGUAAUAUAUUGUUGGAUAAUCAAUGGUAGGAGAGGUGUGAAAUAAAUAAGAGAAAACUCAAAAGUAAUUGUUUGGUCCAUUUUGGUUUCUAUUUGUUUAUAAGUUUAUUUUUGAUUUGUUUUUAGGAAAUAAUUCCAGAAAAAAGCUCAGUGAAAAUGUUAGGAACCAAGGUUGAAAUCAAUUUAAAGAAAGCGGAAGCCUUUAGUUGGCCGACCUUGGAAUUUCCUCCGGAGACAACAAACGGAGACUCAAAGUGAUCGCGAGGUAGCCGGCAAUAAGUCUUGUGAUAGUGAUGGAGCUACAUCUCACAGAACAAAACUCGGGUUUUAUUUAAACCAUGUCUUUCCCAUAAUCGAUGGAUUUCUGUAAUGAAACAUUACAAGUGGUACAGAUAAAAACAUUUCUCCAGGUAUUACUAGCCCAGAGCCAAGGUUUUUUUUGUAUUAGUUUGGACAAUAAAAAUUAAUUUCUUCAAAAUCUGGAAUUUUUAUACUAUUUUUAUGAAGAAUUCCAAGACAAACUGAGUUUGCAGUAAUGUAUAUCAGUGAAUAUAAAAUCAAUACUUGUGAAAAGGCUGUCUGAUGUAACUAAAAUACAAUUCAACCAUCUUU